AUGCUGGCGAUAGGUCAUUCAAAUUUCUGCCCUAUCAGCUGACGAUGGUAGUAUAGAGGACUACCAUGGCAUUAACGGGUAACGGAGAAUUAGGGUUCGAUUCCGGAGAGGGAGCCUGAGAAACGGCUACCACUUCUAAGGAAGGCAGCAGGCGCGCUAAUUACCCAAUCCUGACACAGGGAGGUAGUGACAAUAAAUAACAAUACCGGACCUCAAACGGUUUGGCAAUUGGAAUGAGAACAAUUUAAAUCCCUUAUCGAGGAUCCAUUGGAGGGCAAGUCUGGUGCCAGCAGCCGCGGUAAUACCAGCUCCAAUAGCGUAUAUUAAAGUUGUUGCAGUUAAAAAGCUCGUAGUUGGAUAUCUGGUUUCGACACCUGUCCCGCUGACUCUUUUUUGGGUCGGUGAUGAGACGGUUGCUGUCGAGCCAUCCUUUUAGAAACCAUGCCUUUCCUUCGCUGGACUGGGUAUGGGUUCUGAAUCAUUUACUUUGAAAAAAUUAGAGUGUUCAAAGCAGGCGUUAUUGCAUUUGAAUAUAUUAGCAUGGAAUAAUAAAAUAGGACUUUGGUUUCUCCUAUUUUGUUGGUUUCUAGGACAAAGUAAUGAUUGAUAGGGAUAGUUGGGGGUGCUUGUAUUGAACGGCCAGAGGUGAAAUUCUUAGAUUCGUUCAAGACAAACGACUGCGAAAGCAUUCACCAAGGAUGUCUUCUUUAAUCAAGAACGAAAGUUGGGGGAUCGAAGACGAUCAGAUACCGUCGUAGUCCUAACCAUAAACGAUGCCGACUAAGGAUCCGUGAUCGUUGUGUAUAAUGACUUCAUGGGCACUUUAUGAGAAAUCAUAAGUUUUUGGGUUCCGGGGGGAGUAUGGUCGCAAGGCUGAAACUUAAAGGAAUUGACGGAAGGGCACAACCAGGAGUGGAUUUUGCGGCUUAAUUUGACCCAACACGGGAAAACUUACCAGGUCCGACAUGGUUAGGAUUGACAGAUUGCAGAUCUUUCUUGAUUCCAUGGGUGGUGGUGCAUGGCCGUUCUUAGUUGGUGGAGUGAUUUGCCUGGUUAAUUCCGUUAACGAACGAGACCUCAGCCUGCUAAAUAGUUCGACAAACACUUCUGGUGUUUGAAAUUCGAAGCUUCUUAGAGGGACUGUCUGUAUCUAGCAGAAGGAAGUAUGAGGCAAUAACAGGUCUGUGAUGCCCUUAGAUGUCCUGGGCUGCACGCGUAAUACAAUGUUGCAUUCAGCGAGCAUCUCCUUGGCCGACAGGCCUGGGUAAUCUUUCAAAGUGCAACGUGACGGGGAUAGACUAUUGCAAUUAUUAGUCUUGAACGAGGAAUUCCUAGUAAACGCAAGUCAUCAACUUGCAUUGAUUACGUCCCUGCCCUUUGUACACACCGCCCGUCGCUCCUACCGAUUGAAUGAUCCGGUGAAAUCGGCGGACUGGCCUCGGUUUUUUGGGUUUUUCCCAAUCUGUAGCCGGGAAGUUGAUUAAACCUUAUCAUUUAGAGGAAGGAGAAGUCGUAACAAGGUU
rnacentral:rRNA from 1 species